rnacentral:lncRNA from 1 species
GAUGUGGAAAACCAUCCAUUUGCCUUGCACAGUACAGCUACGGUUAACCACUGCUAAUUGCAACAGCUACCAGAGCAAUCAUUCGGAGCCAGACCGCUUCAGGCUAGAAGCUGCAGUUAUCCUGCGUGGGACAGAGGUGUGCAGAUGGGAAGUUCUCAGUGUCCUUGACAAGCCAGAAAUCCGCCCAUUCACUGUUUCAAGCAAUUAAAAUGAUGACACAGCCAUCAACCCCCACACAACCAGUUGGCGAAAGCACUAUGCAAUGGAAACUCCGGUCUUCCGCAAGUAAAUUUGUAUGUAGUUUGGCAGAGAGCAGCCCUGCUGACUUCCCAGGCCGAUGCUGCUUUGUUACUCAAACAUAAGCGUCUAAAACCAGCAUUAGGCACCGAGAGCCGCGCCAAAGCCGACUGCUGUCGUCGUAUAAUAAAACAGCAUGUUGAGGUUUGCUAUUCUAAUUG